rnacentral:rRNA from 1 species
CUACGGAGGAUGCAAGCGUUAUCCGGAUUUAUUGGGUUUAAAGGGUUCGUAGGCGGAAAAUUAAGUCAGUGGUGAAAGCCUGCAGCUCAACUGCAGAACUGCCAUUGAUACUGAUUUUCUUGAAUUUAUAUGAAGUGGGCGGAAUGCGUCAUGUAGCGGCGAAAUGCACAGAUAUGACGCAGAACACCAAUUGCGAAGGCAGCUCACUAAUGUAAUAUUGACGCUGAGGAACGAAAGCAUGGGGAGCGAACAGGAUUAGAUACCCUAGUAGUCC